AUCCAGUUGACGAGUCCCAAAAUUGGACGAAACGCGUGUCACACUGUAU
rnacentral:hammerhead_ribozyme from 1 species